rnacentral:misc_RNA from 1 species
UCUCCGUAGGUGAACCUGCGGAGGGAUCAUUGCAGAGUUCAUGCCCUACCGGGUAGAUCUCCCACCCUAUGUUAUUAUUACUUUGUUGCUUUGGCGGGCCGUUAGGCUCCGGCCCGACUACCGGCCCCGGCUGGUAAGCGCCCGCCAGAGGACCCAAAACCCUGAAUAUUAGUGUCGUCUGAGUACUAUAUAAUAGUUAAAACUUUCAACAACGGAUCUCUUGGUUCUGACAUCGAUGAAGAACGCAGC